UACGGAGGAUCCAAGCGUUAUCCGGAAUCAUUGGGUUUAAAGGGUCCGUAGGCGGUUUAGUAAGUCAGUGGUGAAAGCCCAUCGCUCAACGGUGGAACGGCCAUUGAUACUGCUAGACUUGAAUUAUUAGGAAGUAACUAGAAUAUGUCAUGUAGCGGUGAAAUGCUUAGAUAUGACACAGAACACCGAUUGCGAAGGCAGCUCACAAAACUGUAACUGACGCUGAGGCAUGAAAGCGUGGGUAUCAAACAGG
rnacentral:rRNA from 1 species